AGUGAACGCUAGCGGUAGGCCUAACACAUGCAAGUCGAACGGCAGCACAGUAAGAGCUUGCUCUUACGGGUGGCGAGUGGCGGACGGGUGAGGAAUACAUCGGAAUCUACUUUUUCGUGGGGGAUAACGUAGGGAAACUUACGCUAAUACCGCAUACGACCUACGGGUGAAAGCAGGGGAUCUUCGGACCUUGCGCGAUUGAAUGAGCCGAUGUCGGAUUAGCUAGUUGGCGGGGUAAAGGCCCACCAAGGCGACGAUCCGUAGCUGGUCUGAGAGGAUGAUCAGCCACACUGGAACUGAGACACGGUCCAGACUCCUACGGGAGGCAGCAGUGGGGAAUAUUGGACAAAGGGCGCAAGCCUGAUCCAGCCAUACCGCGUGGGUGAAGAAGGCCUUCGGGUUGUAAAGCCCUUUUGUUGGGAAAGAAAAGCAGCAGGUUAAUACCCCGCUGUUCUGACGGUACCCAAAGAAUAAGCACCGGCUAACUUCGUG
rnacentral:rRNA from 1 species